GUUUGGGAACCACUGCGUUAAUGUAUCUGGAGCUGUCUGUGGUAUCUAUGUUUCUCUCUAGUUGACGUCAUCAUUGGGAGAAGUCCCUCCCAUUUGUGAUGCUGCCUUAUUAGAAUAAACACAGCCCUGAGUGAGAAGCAGCAGUCCGCCAUUACUGUUUUCUUGUUGUAGAUGCUUGUCAGUGUCAAAGAGCAAAGAGGCAUUAGAAGUGUUGUGUUUUAGGAUGCACCAAUGAACAUAGGAGUCUCCAUGGACCAGGGAUCCUCAAAUCCGGCCCACGAGAUCCACUUUCCUGCCGAGUUUAGCUCUAACCCUAAUUUAAACACACCUGAGCAUGCCAAUCAAUGUCUUCAGGUUCAUUAGAAAACUACAGGUAGGUGAGUUUGAUCAGGGUUGGAGAUAAACUCCGCAGCGCACUGGCCCUCCUGGACAAGAUUUGAGGAACCCUGCCAUAGACUCUCUCCAUCUGAACUGCUGAGGGCAUUGUGGUUAAGUUUAAUUUUCAAAGGACAGAUUUUACGCCAGACUGUCUAACAACUGAGGGUAAUUUCUAGGCUGGAUUUUUGCAAAAUGGAUUCCUAAACAGGGAUUGAUACCAAUGCUCUGUGCACAGACUUCAGCUCCAGACAAAUCAGAGGUAAUAACACAACAUGAGGCUGACAAACUGUCUAACUGCACACUGGUGCUUGAUAAGCUGUCAGAGCACAAAGCAAAGUGAAACCAUCUAUGACAAUGAGAGGCAGUGAUUCACCCGGCAUCAUCUAUGAGCCACUCUGCUUACCUCCAAAGACUAGCAACUAAAAUGAUCGGCCACAUGGAGCAUUUUAAAGAGUGUUCUCGGAGGAAGGGGAGGAUGGGGCUGCAGUCUACACCAUUUGUGCUGGCUUUGAGCCACACCAACUGUUCAUAAGACAGACACCCACAACCAUACAACAAGCCAAAGCCUGAAGAAUCUGCUCAAGAGACAAUUGUACAAUCGAAAUCGUACAGUCCACGUCAGGCAUAAGACAACAGUGGCAAAAUAAACCUGUAUAGGAUCAGUAAUCUCAUGCCAUAAUCCUCUAAAAUAUCAGACUUCUGCACAUUUCUGAGCCGCUUGCUCUCAUAUCGGGAGAAAUCAAUUGGACUUUGAACUGAGUGCAAACUAUACCUGUGUUAAUACUAUGGUUAAAGGUCAAAGGUCACUGGUCACAUUUUAAUAGGGAAAAAUUGUUAGGUGGUCUUUUAGAAGAACUAGAGGUUUAAACAUUUUUAAAGAAUUUUGUGUGUGUUUUCCUCAAAAAAAAAA